CCUACGGGAGGCAGCAGUGAGGAAUAUUGGUCAAUGGACGCAAGCCUGACCCAGCAACGCCGCGUGAAGGAAGAAGGCUUUCGGGUUGUAAACUUCUUUUCUCAGGGACGAAGAAAGUGACGGUACCUGAGGAAUAAGCCACGGCUAACUACGUGCCAGCAGCCGCGGUAAUACGUAGGUGGCAAGCGUUAUCCGGAUUUAUUGGGUGUAAAGGGCGUGUAGGCGGGAGGGCAAGUCAGAUGUGAAAACUCAGGGCUCAACCCUGAGCCUGCAUUUGAAACUGUGUUUCUUGAGUGCUGGAGAGGUCAUCGGAAUUCCUGGUGUAGCGGUGAAAUGCGUAGAGAUAAGGAAGAACACCAGUGGCGAAGGCGGAUGACUGGACGGCAACUGACGGUGAGGCGCGAAAGCGUGGGGAGCAAACAGGAUUAGAUACCCCGGUAGUC
rnacentral:rRNA from 1 species